rnacentral:lncRNA from 1 species
AUUAUCAGUAGAGAUGUAACAUUUAAUGAAUCUAUUUUAUUAAACAGUUAGAAGGAGAAGGCAAUAGUAGAAUCAGAUCACGGUGUUGGAGAAUAAAUAGAGUUUGAAGUCCAGUCCAAUAGGGAAUAAAGUGCAAGUUCUUUGUGAAAAAGGUGAUGAUGCACCUGAUCAACAAUAACCAUACAAUAUUGCAACAGGUAGGGAGAGAAAAUAUAUUAGACCACCACAGAGGUAUGAGAAUUUAGUUGCAUAUACUUUGUUAGUUGCAUGGAUAAUUAAUUUGCAGGAACCAAGGAGUUCAGGCGUAGAUUAGGGGGGUGGUACUGUGUGUGAAGAACUUGAUAGCGAACAUCACUUUGUUCAAGGAUUAAGUU